rnacentral:rRNA from 1 species
GCCAGACUCCUACGGGAGGCAGCAGUGGGGAAUAUUGCACAAUGGGGGAAACCCUGAUGCAGCGACGCCGCGUGAGUGAAGAAGUAUUUCGGUAUGUAAAGCUCUAUCAGCAGGGAAGAAAAUGACGGUACCUGACUAAGAAGCCCCGGCUAACUACGUGCCAGCAGCCGCGGUGAUACGUAGGGGGCAAGCGUUAUCCGGAUUUACUGGGUGUAAAGGGAGCGUAGACGGCAGAGCAAGUCUGAAGUGAAAGCCCGCUGCCCAACUGCGGGACUGCUUUGGAAACUGCCCGGCUAGAGUGCUGGAGAGGUAAGCGGAAUUCCUAGUGUAGCGGUGAAAUGCGUAGAUAUUAGGAGGAACACCAGUGGCGAAGGCGGCUUGCUGGACGAUGACUGACGUUGAGGCUCGAAAGCGUGGGGAGCAAACAGGAUUAGAUACCCGAGUAUG